GGAGUAAAUAGUUUUUUGAUUGGAAAGAAAAAGGCCCUGUUAUCACAAAAGAUGCAGAGUUUUGAACUUUAAAGCUGAGGAACAGUAGUAUUGUACACACAGACAGGGAGGGGGCUUUUUUAUCUCAACGAUGAUGAUGCCUGCUCUGAAAGCCGCCUUUAUUCUUGGCAAUGAAGCCGUUCUUUGGUUUUGGAAUCUCAUGAAUAUCCAUCACCUGUAUUGUCCUUUGCUUUUUAGCAUUUUGAGCUUCUUGGUAAUUCUCCUGAAGCCGUCUUCUUGCUGAAUUCAGCCUCUCAAUAUCUAUAGCGGAUUCCCUCGGAAGAGGUCUACUUGGGGGAGGAGCCGAAACAGGUUUAGGAGCAGACUGCAGUGGUCUAGUAGGGGUUACAUUCCGUUGGGGAACUGGUUUAGGCUUGUACUCUGAUUCUGAAUUAUUCCUGUCCGAGCUCGAACUCCCAUUUCGAGGAUUCGGUGAGUAUGCAAAGUCAGGAACCUGAUGAUUACCAUUCUGUUGAUUCCUCCGUACACUCUGUUGGGGCGAGUCGUCAUCAGCAGCAAUAAGAUUUGCAGACUCAUGUUGCUCAGGCGGGUUGAGCCUAACCCAAUCAUCAACAGUUCCUUUCCAUUUUCUAACAAGCAUCUUCACCAAUCUCCUAACUUCACUUGAUGGAUGCUUCCUCAAUUGAUUCACAUGCCUUCCAAUAUCAGUGUCCUGAAGAGCUUGGAAUGUAAUAUCCAUAUCUGCUAAAUUUUGAAGCAGGUCAACCACAUCCUCAUCCGACAGCUGUGGAUUUUCAAGCUGUUGUUUGAUUGUUAGAAUUUGAGUUUGUUCAUCAUCAUCAUCAAACAGUCCUCCAUACGGAUCUGCAUCUUCCUCUUCUUCAUUCUUGUCAUUACUAUUCUCCUUCUCCCGUUGAUUAGACUCCGGUGUUAACGGACUCUUAUUCAUCAUCAUCUCCACAUUUCUAGUACCGUUAUCUAACCUAUGCUGGCCAUUACCAACGUCAUCUGAGCUCCGGGAGCGCGUGAAGUAGAGUUUUUCAACGAUUCCAUCACGUCGACGUUUCAAUUCAUCUGCACAGUCGACUGCAGCAACAGAUAUCGCCGCAUCCAUCAUGGUCCAUACAUCUACCUUGGACUCCGAUAGUAUCAACCGGAAUUCAUCCAAAUCCAUUAGGAAUAAUUUACCGGAAAAAUUGUUCAAUAUGUUAUUGAAAAUUUACUAGAGUAGAUCCAUGGAUGAAUCAGAAGAAAACGACGCCGUAAUAGGAAGCAUUUUUUUUAGAUCUGAUUAUGGGAAUUCUUUUAGAUGAUUUUUACGAGUCGUCUUCACAAACCAGACAGAGAACAGCACAUAACUAGAGGGGUAGGGGAGAAGAAUAUGGAGGAUUUUUUUGGAAUAAUUUUUAUUAUUCUUU
rnacentral:misc_RNA from 1 species